UUACGAUCAGAUCACGUUGAAACACUGGUUCUCAUAAGAUCACCGAAGUUAAGCAACGUCGAGCCUGGUCGGUGGGUUACUGCUUUGGAAUACCAGGUGCUGUAAG